AAUGACGUGUACCUGAAGAAUAAGCAUCGGCUAACUCCGUGCCAGCAGCCGCGGUAAGACGGAGGAUGCAAGUGUUAUCCGGAAUCACUGGGCGUAAAGCGUCUGUAGGUGGUUUAAUAAGUCAACUGUUAAAUCUUGAAGCUCAACUUCAAAAUCGCAGUCGAAACUAUUAGACUAGAGUAUAGUAGGGGUAAAGGGAAUUUCCAGUGGAGCGGUGAAAUGCGUAGAUAUUGGGAAGAACACCGAUGGCGAAGGCACUUUACUGGGCUAUUACUGACACUCAGAGACGAAAGCUAGGGUAGCAAAUGGGAUUAGAUACCCCAGUAGUCCUAGCUGUAAAC
rnacentral:rRNA from 1 species